CUACGGGUUGCAGCAGUGAGGAAUAUUGCACAAUGGGGGGAACCCUGAUGCAGCAACGCUGCGUGGAGGAUGACGCAUUUCGGUGUGUAAACUCCUUUUAUAUGUCAAGAAAAUGACGGUAGCAUAUGAAUAAGCACCGGCUAACUCCGUGCCAGCAGCCGCGGUAAUACGGAGGGUGCAAGCGUUACUCGGAAUCACUGGGCGUAAAGGACGCGUAGGCGGGUUGGAAAGUCAGGUGUGAAAUCCUACAGCUUAACUGUAGAACUGCACUUGAAACUUCUAAUCUAGAGUAUGGGAAGGGGAGAUGGAAUUAGUGGUGUAGGGGUAAAAUCCGUAGAUAUCACUAGGAAUACCUAAAGCGAAGGCGAUCUCCUGGAACAUUGCUGACGCUAAGGCGUGAAAGCGUGGGGAGCAAACAGGAUUAGAUACCCGGGUAGUC
rnacentral:rRNA from 1 species